GCACGGAUAUGAGUGAUGCCCUAAUACCGGGUUAAAUGACCCUUUUAGCCAAAAGAGUGUCCUCAAGCGCUUUGACAUAGGUGUUGGGCUUCAUAAGGGCAAUGCGGUAAAAAAUAUCCACUUUAAGAUUUUUCAAGAAUUUAUGAGCCUUUCAACCCUUGAACGCAACUAAUAGGGGAGCGAAUUAGGAUAGCUGGACAAACC
rnacentral:lncRNA from 1 species